rnacentral:rRNA from 1 species
GAUGAACGCUGGCGGCGUGCCUAAUACAUGCAAGUCGAGCGAACAGAUAAGGAGCUUGCUCCUUUGACGUUAGCGGCGGACGGGUGAGUAACACGUGGGUAACCUACCUAUCAGACUGGAAUAACUCCGGGACACCGGGGCUAAUGCCGGAUAACAUUUAGAACCGCAUGGUUCUAAAGUGAAAGAUGGUUUUGCUAUCACUUAUCGAUGGACCCGCGCCGUAUUAGCUAGUUGGUAAGGUAACGGCUUACCAAGGCAACGAUACGUAGCCGACCGGAGAGGGUGAGCGGGCACGCGAGAGCGGAGAGACGCACUAGACUCCUGCGGGAGGCCGCAGUAGGGAAGCUGGCGGAAGGGGCGAAAGCUUGACGAAGCGAGGACGCGUGAUGGAUGGAGGUCGUCGGACCGUAAAACGCUUUUAGGAGGGAAGAACAAUUGGGUAAGGAACUGUGCACUUCUUGACGGUACCUAAUCAAAAAGCCCCGGCUAACUACGUG